GUUGUCAGUCCUUGCAGAACAAAAUAGCAGCACCUCACUAGUCAUAAAACAUCAUCAUCAAGUUGCAUAUUGUUUUUUGUCCACAUGUAGUUAAUUGUACCAUAUUAGUUCAUCUUUAAACUCCUCUGCUUGUCUAAUCUCUAUAACAUAUGCAUAUUUCAUGGUACUUCGGGCAGCAACACUCUUACCUUUAUCAUUUUCAUCCUAUAACAGACAACAGACUCUUCUAUACUGGCCCCAGCAUGCAGUAUAUGCGCCUGGUCGUGUUUUCAGAGGAGGAGAAGAAGGCUGUGCUAAUGGAGUGCCACAACAACCCUGGUACUGGGAAUCAUAAUGGUGCCAGAAGUACCCGAAACAGGGUUGUUGCUGGCUACUACUGGCCAACCAUGAUCAAGGACACCAAUGAAUGGGUCAGAUGUUGUCAUCGCUGCCAGAUGAAUGACCCAAUUAAGACCAUAGCACCAGCUUUACAUCCCAUCAAGGUUAAAGAACCUUGGGAGGUGCUAGGGAUGGAUUUAAUUGGACCGCUCCCGGAAACAGGUCGAGGGAACCAGUAUAUCCUGACCAUGACUGACUUGUACACCAAGUGGGU